UACGAAGGGGGCUAGCGUUGCUCGGAAUUACUGGGCGUAAAGCGCGUGUAGGCGGCAGCGCAAGUCGGGCGUGAAAUCCCACGGCUCAACCGUGGAAGUGCACUCGAAACUGCGCAGCUAGAGUCCUGGAGAGGAGGGUGGAAUGCUUGGUGUAGAGGUGAAAUUCGUAGAUAUCAAGCGGAACACCGGUGGCGAAGGCGGCCUUCUGGACAGUGACUGACGCUGAGACGCGAAAGCGUGGGGAGCAAACAGG
rnacentral:rRNA from 1 species